rnacentral:rRNA from 1 species
UGGGGAAUAUUGGACAAUGGGCGCAAGCCUGAUCCAGCCAUGCCGCGUGUGUGAAGAAGGCCCUAGGGUUGUAAAGCACUUUCAGUGGGGAGAAAGGCCUUUUACCUAAUACGUAAGAGGAUUGAUGUUACCCACAGAAGAAGCACCGGCUAACUCCGUGCCAGCAGCCGCGGUAAUACGGAGGGUGCAAGCGUUAAUCGGAAUUACUGGGCGUAAAGCGCACGUAGGUGGUUUGUUAAGCCAGCUGUGAAAUCCCCGGGCUCAACCUGGGCACUGCAGUUGGAACUGGCAAGCUAGAGUAGGGUAGAGGGGUGUGGAAUUCCAGGUGUAGCGGUGAAAUGCGUAGAAAUCUGGAGGAACAUCGGUGGCGAAGGCGACACCCUGGACUCAUACUGACACU